CCAGACUCCUACGGGAGGCAGCAGUGGGGAAUAUUGCACAAUGGGGGAAACCCUGAUGCAGCAACGCCGCGUGAGUGAAGAAGUAUUUCGGUAUGUAAAGCUCUAUCAGCAGGGAAGAAGAUGACGGUACCUGAGUAAGAAGCCCCGGCUAACUACGUGCCAGCAGCCGCGGUAAUACGUAGGGGGCAAGCGUUAUCCGGUUUUACUGGGUGUAAAGGGAGCGUAGACGGCUGCGCAAGUCUGAAGUGAAAGCCCGGGGCUCAACCCCGGGACUGCUUUGGAAACUGUGUAGCUAGAGUGCUGGAGAGGCAAGCGGAAUUCCUAGUGUAGCGGUGAAAUGCGUAGAUAUUAGGAAGAACACCAGUGGCGAAGGCGGCUUACUGGACAGUAACUGACGUUGAGGCUCGAAAGCGUGGGGAGCAAACAGAAUUAGAUACCCCGGUA
rnacentral:rRNA from 1 species